CCUACGGGGGGCAGCAGUGAGGAAUAUUGGUCAAUGGACGAGAGUCUGAACCAGCCAAGUAGCGUGAAGGAUGACUGCCCUAUGGGUUGUAAACUUCUUUUAUAAGGGAAUAAAACGAGGCACGUGUGCCGUUUUGCAUGUACUUUAUGAAUAAGGAUCGGCUAACUCCGUGCCAGCAGCCGCGGUAAUACGGAGGAUCCGAGCGUUAUCCGGAUUUAUUGGGUUUAAAGGGAGCGUAGAUGGGUUGUUAAGUCAGUUGUGAAAGUUUGCGGCUCAACCGUAAAAUUGCAAUUGAUACUGGCAGUCUUGAGUACAGUUGAGGUAGGCGGAAUUCGUGGUGUAGCGGUGAAAUGCUUAGAUAUCACGAAGAACCCCGAUUGCGAAGGCAGCUUACUAAACUGUGACUGACAUUGAUGCUCGAAAGUGUGGGUAUCAAACAGGAUUAGAUACCCCUGUAGUC
rnacentral:rRNA from 1 species